rnacentral:rRNA from 1 species
AUACAUGCAGUCGAGCGGACAGAUGGGAGCUUGCUCCCUGAUGUUAGCGGCGGACGGGUGAGUAACACGUGGGUAACCUGCCUGUAAGACUGGGAUAACUCCGGGAAACCGGGGCUAAUACCGGAUGGUUGUUUGAACCGCAUGGUUCAAACAUAAAAGGUGGCUUCGGCUACCACUUACAGAUGGACCCGCGGCGCAUUAGCUAGUUGGUGAGGUAACGGCUCACCAAGGCAACGAUGCGUAGCCGACCUGAGAGGGUGAUCGGCCACACUGGGACUGAGACACGGCCCAGACUCCUACGGGAGGCAGCAGUAGGGAAUCUUCCGCAAUGGACGAAAGUCUGACGGAGCAACGCCGCGUGAGUGAUGAAGGUUUUCGGAUCGUAAAGCUCUGUUGUUAGGGAAGAACAAGUACCGUUCGAAUAGGGCGGUACCUUGACGGUACCUAACCAGAAAGCCACGGCUAACUACG